UACGUAGGGGGCAAGCGUUAUCCGGAUUUACUGGGUGUAAAGGGAGCGUAGACGGCGAUGCAAGUCUGAAGUGAAAGCCCGGGGCUCAACCCCGGGACUGCUUUGGAAGCUGUAUGGCUAGAGUGCUGGAGAGGCAAGCGGAAUUCCUAGUGUAGCGGUGAAAUGCGUAGAUAUUAGGAAGAACACCAGUGGCGAAGGCGGCUUGCUGGACAGUAACUGACGUUGAGGCUCGAAAGCGUGGGGAGCAAACAGG
rnacentral:rRNA from 1 species